GCUAAAGUGGCGGAUAAACGUAUGGGACCUAAGAUCUCACCAUGUACAAUUGUACCUUUAGU
rnacentral:tRNA from 1 species